AUUGAACGCUGGCGGCAUGCUUUACACAUGCAAGUCGAACGGUAACAGGGAGCUUGCUCCGCUGACGAGUGGCGAACGGGUGAGUAAUGCGUCGGAACGUGCCGAGUAGUGGGGGGAUAACGCAUCGAAAGGUGUGCUAACACCGCAUACGAACUGAGGUUGAAAGUGGGGGACCUUCGGGCCUCACGCUAUUCGAGCGGCCGACGUCUGAUUAGCUAGUUGGUGAGGUAAAGGCUCACCAAGGCGACGAUCAGUAGCGGGUCUGAGAGGAUGAUCCGCCACACUGGGACUGAGACACGGCCCAGACUCCUACGGGAGGCAGCAGUGGGGAAUUUUGGACAAUGGGCGCAAGCCUGAUCCAGCCAUGCCGCGUGUCUGAAGAAGGCCUCGGUUGUAAGGACUUUGUCCGGUAGCGAAAUAACCCACGUAGCUAAUAACGACUGGGGCGUGAGAGUACCGGAAGAAUAAG
rnacentral:rRNA from 1 species